rnacentral:lncRNA from 1 species
GACACCCGACUCCCGACCCCCGACACCCGACACCAUUGACCCCCGACACCCGACUCUCGACCCUCGACACCCGACUCUCGACCCCCGACGCCCGACGCCACCAACCCUCGACGCCUGACGCCACCAACCCCCGACCCUCGACCCCCGACCCCGACGCCACUCACACCCGACUCCCGACCCCCGACCCCCGACGCCCGACACCACUGACCCCCGAN